UUUUUCGUAAAAAAUCAUUUUUGGUAUUUUCAGAAACGUAUAAGAUUUUGAUUCCUUUGAAUCGUUUUUCAUUUAGAUGAAAGGAAGUGAUAUAUAUACAUAUACGAGGGCUGUCUGAUAAAUAACCGACCGAACCAUGAUGCAGGCGACUUUUUCAAAUUUUUUUUGUUUUUUUCUACAUAGUCUCCUUGUAGCUCCACACACUUCUCCCAGCGAUGCUCCCAUCUCUGCAACCCUUCCAAACAGAGCACUGGAAAUGUUCAUGCGCGCACGUUUGUGGUCUAGCGUAAGCACACGCGGCACCCAACGCGCGGACAGCUUUCUCAUGCCCAAAUCUUGGUGACAAACACGUUCUUUUGACAUCUUCAUAGUCUCAGCUAUUUCCCUAACUUUAAUCCGGCGGUCGUCUAGUACCAAUUGAUGAACUUUAGCGAUGUUAUCGUUAGUAGUUACAGUUCUUAGACGCCCAGGACUUUUAUCAUCUUCCAAGCUCCUGCGACCACGUUUAAAUUCAGCUGCCCAAAAUUUUACGGUGGUAAACGAUGGUGCAGAGUCACCAUACACAGAGUCCAACUCAUCUUUGAUUUGUGAAGGCGUAUUGCCUUUCAAAAAUAAAAAUUUAAUUACAGCUCGAUAUUCAAUUUUUUCCAUUUUGGGGAAAUCACCGAAAUAGACUCACAAAAACGACUGUCAACAGAUAAUUGCGCAAGAUAAAAUUUUGAAAUUUUGGCGAGUAGUUAUUAUAAUAUGCACAAUUUGAAGUAGAAACUUUUUUUUCAGAUGUGCCGCUAGCUUCACGUUGAGGUCGGUUAUUUAUCAGACAGCCCUCGUAUACUUGUAUAUAAUUUUUUCUUUUGAUUUCAAUCAAACGGAUAAAUUGUGAGAACCGUAAACUCUUUCACGUCGAUAAGAGCUUUAAUUUCUGUUAAAACUAAUAAAUUACGCGUUUUUCAGUUUUAGCGGUCGCGCGGAUGUAUUUACAUAAUUUUGUAUUUGUAUUUACUUGAAUUUUGUGAAAUCGAUUAAUUUAUUUUUAUUGAAAAUACCCAAGUAGUGUAUAAAAUCAGAGGCAGAUUUUCAGCCUUAUAUGUAUGUAGUGUAGGGCUGCCAUACGUCCUGGUUUACCAGGAUUUGUCCUGGUAUUGCACGAAUUGUCCUGGUGUCCUGGUCAACCCUUAAAUUGUCCUAGUCUACUGUCAAAUUGUCAUGUAUGUGAAUAAAAAAAAUGAAGAAAAAGCUUUUCUUUUUUCAGAUUAUUGUUAGAGCGGAUUCACACUUGUCAAGUACUUGAAAGCAAGAGAAAUUUCCCCUGCUUCUCACCCCUCUCAUCCUAUGCGAGCAGAGUUGCUUUCAAGUACUGGACAAGUGUAAAUCCGCUAUUAUGAAAAAAUGUUCAUCGUUAGGUUAAUCGAAAAUCGAUAAUGAAAUUUGUUUCUUCUCUAUCAUAUUGAACAUAUGAUUUAUGCAUUGCUGAGGAACGUGGAUUUGUAUCGCUCCAAAUGCACAACAGCUGAAUGGUCGUAUAUGAAAAAAGGAAAAACUGAUGACACUGCGUAUUGCUCGAUAUGUGGAUUUGACAUUAAAAUUGCAAAUGGAGGAAAGUCAAGCAUUCAAGAUCAUGUAAAAAGUGCUUAGUGCUUUCAAAAAUAACAAUUGCUUCAUGUUCAAAAGAUAUUAGUUCUUUUAUGGUGAAGAAGAAUACACAACUUGAGCAUUUGAUAAAGGUUGCUGAAAUCACAAGCGCCUACAGAAUUGUAAAUCAUCAUCAAUCAUUCAGCUCCUUGAAUUGUACCACAAAACUGGAUGCCGUAUUAUAUCCAGAUUCAAAAAUCGCCGCAAAACAAUCGAACGCCAGAAUAAAAGCAACAGCCAUCAUAAAGAAUGUUUUGGCACCACAUUCAGUUACGGAAUUCACUAAAACACUAAAAGAUCAUGUUCCAUUCUUUGGAAUAUCUACCGAUUCGGCAAUCGAGCACAGAAAAUGUUCCCCCUGAUAAUUCAUUAUUUUACGGAGAAAGGGUUGGAAAAAAAAUUAUUAAAAAUACAGUCAUUGCCAAAUGAAACAUCCGAAACAAUAACAACAUACUGCAUCGAUGCACUAAAACAGCUGAUAUUCCACCAAAAAAUCUUACUGCUUUUGGUGCAGACAAUACAAACGCGAAUUUUGGGGUCAGACAAAGGAAUGGCGUAACUAACGUUUUUUGCAAGUUGAAAUCCGAAUUGGGUCGAGAAAUAGAGGGCAUUGGUUGUUCUGCUCAUAUCCUCCACAACACUAUUUCACGUGCUACAGAUGUACUGUCAAUUGACAUUGAAUCUGUUGUUUUGAAGAUAUAUAAAUAUCAAAGAAUUCUUUGAGGUUGAAAAAAGAGCAGCGAAAGAAAUUACUGACUUUUUUAAAAAUCCGUUUGCAGAACUAUAUUUUACAUUCAUACACAGCCAAGCAUUUGUAAUUGAGAAACAAAUCAAAAAAAUUGAAAAGCGAAAUAUUUCAGUUAUGGAAGUUCAAUUAAUUUUAAGUGAAACUAUAUGUGAUGUGAAAGACAGAUUUGAAAACAAUUUUAUUGGAAUUCAAACACAAACAGUUUUAAAUAAUUUAAAGAACAGAUGUUUGAAUGAUAAAGUUUCUGAUUUUGAAAAUGACGUUAAAACUUUUUUCACGACUUCAAUUAACUACUUAGAGGAUUGGGUGUUCCCCUUAAAAAAGUAUGCAAUUUUUAAUUGGAUGACAUUAAAAAAUAUACCUGAAUGGACUGACGUUCCAAAAACGAUAA